GAUAGACAUGUAACAACUAGUAUGUGAUACCCAAUUUUACUUUGACCAUUGCGGCUAUGGAAGUUUUCAGCACAAGAGGUUUGUGGUUCAGAGAGACAUCAUGGCUCUGAAACAUCAACAACAACAACAUCGACUUCUUUGUUGCCGAGAAUGUGGUAAAGGUUUGUCAUGGAUAGUUUUAAUCUGAGACUGAAACUUCUUCAUCACCUAUCAGGAGAAGAUCCAAGAGUGUUGUGAAACUUCAUCAUCAACACCACAAGGCUGAUGCUUUUGUAAUUGGAGGAAGCAUCAGGAAUCAUCAAUACGGUUCAGCAUCUUCCGAUGACACUGGGAUUGAGUUUCAAGAAAGGAAGUUCAGCAUCUUCCGAUGACACUGGGAUUGAGCCGGAACAAGAGGAAACGGCAUUGUCUCUGAUGAUGUUAUCUAGAGAUUUAAGUUUCGAGAAAGGACAUAACUCAGUUGUGAACCACUCUUUGUCUGAGUCAUCAGACUACUACUCUGUGAUACUUGAGACCAAGUCAUCUUCAGGAGAACAUGUGAAGAGCUUCAAUGUGAAGAAAGUUGAGGAGUUUUGUAAGAAUGACAAAAGUUGAACAACAAUUUAAGGAAGACUCUUAAGCAUACGCACCCGUGCUAUAUUCCUUUUUAACGCAAACGACUAACUCUGUGACUUAUAUUAGGAAGUGUCGAUAAUAUUUGUAGAAUAAAGUUUUGUACAGUGUGAUUCUUUGUUAUAA
rnacentral:lncRNA from 1 species